CCAAUAGCGUAUAUUAAAGUUGUUGCAGUUAAAGAGCUCGUAGUUGAAUUUCGAGAUCGGUUUAUUGGUCGUGCUAUUGUACGUACUGGUAUUACCGGUUUCUCCUUUCUGACGAACCUUAAUGCCAUUAAUUUGGUGUUUUGGGAAAUCAGGACUGUUACUUUGAAAAAAUUAGAGUGUUUAAAGCAGGCUCACGCUUGAAUACAUUAGCAUGGAAUAACGGAAUAGGACGUUUGAUUCUAUUUUGUUGGUUUCUAGGAUCGACGUAAUGAUUAAUAGGGAUAGUUGGGGGCAUUAGUAUUCAAUUGUCAGAGGUGAAAUUCUUGGAUUUAUUGAAGACUAACUACUGCGAAAGCAUUUGCCAAGGAUGUUUUCAUUAAUCAAGAACGAAAGUUAGGGGAUCGAAGACGAUCAGAUACCGUCGUAGUCUUAGCCAUAAACUAUGCCGACUAGGGAUCGGAUGAUGUUAAUUUUUUAAUGACUCAUUCGGCGCCUUACG
rnacentral:rRNA from 1 species